GAGCUGCACAGGCCAAGGAAUUCCACAGAGGGUGUGACCCAAAGCCCCUAACAACAGACUCGCUGGGACCCCCUAGACUUGGCAUGGAGGCUGGCGUCGAUUUUCCCAUCAUCCGCCUCUAAGAGCUCAGAGGUAGGGAGAUCCUGCUCCGCCCUCUCGUCCUCUUCCUCCAAGCCUGGGGAAGGGACGUCCUGGCAGGUGGUCAGGGCGUUGCAGUUCGAGUCCAGGCCAGGAUCGGGUGAAGAAGAAGCUCCGGAGCAGGAAUCAGGAGAGCAGCAGAAGCUGUCCGGUGCAGACCUAGAAGACAGAGGUGGUGAAGCCCGGCCAGUGAGGACAAGAGCUGCGGGGAAGGACACCGAGAUGAGAUGCAAAUCGCAAUCGACUGACCAUUAGUUUCCACUGCAGUGUUUGCAGAUGGAGUCGAAUGUAACCCCCCGGGAAUGGAGCCGGGAGGGUCAGAGAACGCGGCUGCGCUCUGGAUCUCCGAAGGGGGGCGGGGGCCUGGAAGAGGUCCGGGCCCAGAAUGGACCUCCAGGUCCCUGCUGCCGCAAUCUGGCCCUGCCCUCCAGCCUACCCCUUACUCCCAGAGGAAGGGACCCAGGGAGACCCACCCAGAUGCCCUGAAAGGAGGUGGAGGAUGGGGGUGGGGCAAUACGCAGAGUUUGUCUGGUGAAUGCAGGAAAGGGGUGGGGGCUGGAGAGGAAAAGGAUGGAGCAGCCGUCAGCUUGUCAACUCCGCAUCUGCUGGCUGCCUCGGCCGGGCUCCAGCCUGCGCCCUCGCCCCUCGGAACAGCGGUAUGUCCAUUCUCUCCGCAUUCGUCUCCAUCGUUCAGCCACCACCGCACCCUUUCUCUAUUCAUUUCUCCUGCUCCCUUGUCCUGCCCCGCCCCUCGUGCCCAGGUCCAUCGGUCUACACCCAUGGGCCGAGCCCUCCUCACCAGGGUCCUCCUGGAACCGCUCCGGCCUUGGGCUUGUCCGCGGCUCCCACGGUCCCCGCCCGGCGGGGCACAGAGCGGGAGGGGAGGGGCACUAGCACAACCUACCCUGCGCUGCGCAGCUGCACCCCUUCGCGCAUGGGCGUGGCGUAGCUCAGACCCGCCCCCAGCGUUUAGCGUCUUUUGUCACCCACCUAGAGGGUUUGAUAUAUCCUAAGCUUUUGGCCCCUGGGUCCUGGUUCCGUGCAGCGAGUCCUCCCAGCACCCCACCCUGCACAUUCUGGAAAGAGCCAGACUCUGGCUGGGCCGAGCAAGAACAGAACCACAAGAAGGUUACACGAUUAUUUAUUGAGAGCCUCCUCUCCCCGCCCUUGCAAUCUCUAGGUCACUUUCUCCGCUUGUAGAUUUUGCGCGCAAGCCCCAGAAAGACGGCUGGGGGCAGGGGUGCUGCGUACUGUUCAAUGAGAGCCAUAAUGUGGCUGUAACUGUCUUCCUCAUAUUGCAAGAACACUGCUGGCAGAUCCAGCUCCUCAUAUAGCGCCUUCACCCGGGCCACUUUCUCAGCCUCCUUCUGCCCGUAAUUUUCCUGGAAGAGGUUGAAAGACAGGAAAACGGGCUUGGCCUUCCCCAGAGCCUCCAGGACCCCUCCACUCCCCUCAUUCACAUAUUCCAGAACAUCUCCAAAGCCACCCACUCCUUUCCUCCCUCCAAUUUUCAAGUGUCUCUACGUAGCUAAAAUCCCAAGCUUCCCUUCCCUAUCCCAAAUAUUGCCUCAUACCAGGCAUCCUCUACUCCAGGGUUUCUCCACCUUGGCACUAUUGAAAUUUGGGACCAGAUAAUCCUGUCUGGGGGAGCUGUUCUGUGUACUACAUGUUUGGCAACAUCUUUGGCUCCUGCCAACUAGAUGUCUGUACCACAUGCACACACACAGAGUUGUAAUGACAAUGGCAAAAAAUGUCUGCUGACAUUGCCAAAUGUCCCCUCGGGAGGAAAACUGCCUCUAGUUGAGAACCACUGCUCUAUCCCUUUCCACCAACUCAGGGACCCACCACCCUCUCUCAGGCACCUUCAGGAUCUGGUACUGUUCUGGAGUGGCCCGUUGCAGACACUGAACCACCAGCCAGCUGCAUUUGUUGUCCUGGAUGUCAGUGCCAAUUUUGCCGGUCACACUGGGGUCCCCAAAGAGGUCAAGGCACGCUGCAAUCCUGUACCCUGAAACCAGCUAGAUGAGCAUGUCCUAUAGAGGCCAAGGCUACCAUGGGCACCCUCUGGGCAUCGGGCCCUGUCUGCAAUACACCUGCAGGAAGAGCUCGAUCAGGUUCAGAUCUGUCCCCGGCGGGUAAGGGAUGAAUCCAUGAUGUCAUCUGCCACCAGGAAGAAAGCUUGCAGCUAGAAAGAGUGGAAUAAGACCUGCAGGGCUCCUCAUUACUGUUCCUUCUAUCAGCAACAGAGCUGCUACUUUAUAUCUGUAUAUAGUUUUGCUUUUUUUUGGUAGGGGACAGAGUCUCACUAUUAUCCAGUGCAGUGGUGCAGUCACAGCUCACUGUAGCCUCUAACUCCCAGGCUCAAGUGAUCCUCCCACUUCAGCUUCCUGAGUUCCUGAGACCAUAGGCACAUACCCCAUGCCUGGCUAUUUUUUUUUUUUAAUUUAUUUUUUGUAGAGACAGGGUCCCACUAUGUUGCUCAGGCUGGUUUUGAACCCCUGGGUUCAAAUGAUCCUCCUGCCUCAGCCUCCCAAAUUACUGGGAUUACAGGCAUGAGGCAUCACAGCCGGCCAGAGCUGCUGCCUUUGACAGUCCCUAUGAGCUGGGAAAGUCAGGAUGGGGAGACAGAAGACUUCUGUGCUAUGGAGACUUGGAAAGUGACAUAACAUGUUUGGCUCAGACUCCCCGCCUAUAAAAUGGAACUAAAACACUCUUGUUUUAGGUUAAGAAACUAGAACAGAUCUUUGACAUCUCUAAUGAGCCCUAGAUUAUUCCUGGUGUCAGGGAGAUUAGGAAACACCUUCAUAUACCGUACUCUAUUCUUGCCAAAAACCUCAAUGAAUGCUUAAAGUAAGAUCUAUUCAUGAAACUGACUUCACAUUACUUCCUAAAUAAAAGAAGGCUAUUCCCACAUUGCCCCCAGCACUGUGUUUGAACACCCUGGUGACUAGGAACACAGCCUUACCUAAAGCAGCUCCUUAGCAGUGCAGGUCUAAUAAGGUGGAACUGAAAUCUGACUUUGACCUAUGAGUCUCAGACAUCUUUAAACAUCUUUAAACAUUAACUAAGGGCUUACUCUUCUGAGUGCCCAUCUGAAGGUACCUGAACGUGUCGGGUUUCCCACUAGACCAUGAUCUCCUUGGAAGCAGGGACAGUAACUUCCCCCUCUUAGCAUUUGCAGAGCCUAGCACAGCAUUAGGCCUGGAGUGAGAGUUUCCUAAACACUUGUCUGACAAAGAAAUUAAUAAAACACUCUAACAUUCCCUGUGAUACUUCUUGCAGUCAGUCAAACUAUGUUUUGGUUCCUUAAAUAGCUUUUCUUUUUUUUUUUUUUUGAGAUAGAGUCUCACUCUAUCACCCAAGCUGGAGUGCAGUGGCGCCAUGUGGGUUCACUGUAACCUCCGCCUCCCAAAUUCAAGCGAUUCUCCUGCCUCAGCCUCCCAAGUAGCUGGGACUACAGGCACCUGCCACCACCAACUGCUAGGCCAGCUAAUUUUUGUAUUUUCAUUCAGUAGAGACUGGGUUUUGCCAUGUUGGCCAGGCUGGUCUUGAACUCCUGACCUCAAGUGAUCCGCCUGCCUCGGCCUCCCAAAGUGCUGGGAUUACAGGCGUGAGCCAUCGUGUCUGACCAUUAAAUAGCUUUUCAAGACAUGGUUUGGGUUGCUUUUUUAAAGAGACAAGGGUCUUGUCAUGUUGCCCAAGUUGGACUUGAACUCCUGGGCUCAAGUGAUCCUCCUGUCUCAACUCUUGAGAAUCUAGGGAUAUAGGCACACACCAGCGCACCCAGCUCAAGACAUGGUUUUUAUUUUCAUAACUUAUUUCCUUUUUUUGUUUUUCCACUUCUAGAUACAUACCCAGGUUUUUGUUUUUGAGAUGGAGUUUCACUCUCAUUGUCCAGGCUGGAGUGCAAUGGCGCAAUCUCGGCUCACUGCAACCUCCGCCUCCCGGGUUCACGCGAUUCUCCUGCCUCAGCCUCCCAAGUAGCUGGGAUUACAGGCACGUGCCAUCACACCCGGCUAAUUUUUGUGUUUUUAGUAGAGACAAGGUUUCACCAUGUUGGUCAGGCUGGUCUCGAACUCCUGACCUCACGUGAUCCAUCCACCUUGGCCUCCCAAAGUGCUGGGAUUUUAAGUGUGAGCCAAUGCACCCGGCCCUAUACCCAGGUUUUAAUUUUUAUUAUUAUUUUCUUUUGAGACAGGAUCUCACUCUGUCACCCAGGCUUGAGCAGAAGACAUGGUUUGUGUGUUUUUUUUUUUUUGAGAUGGAGUUUCGCUCUUGUUGCCCAGGCUGGAGUGCAAUAGCGCGAUCUUGGCUCACUGCAACCUCCGCCUCCCGGGUUCAAGCGAUUUUCCUGCCUCAGCCUCCUGAGUAGCUGGGAUUAUAGGCAUGUGCCUCCACGCCUGGCUAAUUUUUUUUUUGUUUUUUGUUUUUUGUUUUUUUUUGAGACAGAGUCUCGCUCUUGUUGCCCAGGCUGGAGUGCAGUGGCACAAUCUCAGCUCACUGCAAGCUCCGCCUCCCAGGUUCACGCCAUUCUCCUACCUCAGCCUCCCAAAUAGCUGGGACUACAGGCGCCUGCCACCAUGCCCGGCUAAUAUUUUUUUUGUAUUCUUAGUAGAGACGGGGUUUCACCAUGUUAGCCAGGAUGGUCUCGAUCUCCUGACUUCAUGAUCCGCCCGCCUCAGCCUCCCAAAGUGCUGGGAUUACAGGCAUGAGCCACUGCGCCCAGCCUAAUUUUGUAUUUUCAGUAGAGAUGGGGUUUCCCCAUGUUGGUCAGGCUGGUCUCGAACUCCUGACCUCAGGUGAUCCACCUGCCUCAGCCUCCCAAAGUGCUGGGAUUACAGGCAUGAGCCACUACACUUGGCCUAGAAGACAUGGUUUUUAAGACUUUAUCCCAUCCUAAUCCUGUGUGCUGUAGUGGAUCCACAUUGCAAAGGAAGCAUGCAACACCGCCUGCCAGAGCCCAGCAUGGGCCGUGGGGAAAGGACCGUUGCAAUCACUGCUGUUAUAGGCAGGGUCCUCAGGGAAGGAGGCAUCCAUCUGCAUCUUUACCUCUGACCUAAACUCAGAAGAGUAGUGUGGAGGUCCUGGGCUUUCCACAUCAAAGGCACAUGUUUAAUUGACUCUGUGUUUAUUUGGAGUAGCAUGGUUUCCCUGAAGCCACCCAUUCACUGCCUCUCCCAAGGGUGACUGCAAGGACAAUCUUGUUUCAGCCACCACCACUCAACCAUGAUGGUCUCCAAGAUAAUUAAUUCCAUGGCCUCCCCAAAUUUCCUCUGCCUCCUAGCACUGAUUCUUAACCCCACCAGCACUUUCUAUUUAUUAGGGAAAUUAAAAAAAAAAAAAAAACCCAGGCCAGGCACAGUGGCUCACACCUGUUAUCCCAGUACUCUGGGAGGCCGAGGCAGGCAGAUCACUUGAGCCCGGGAGUUCAAGACCAGCCUGGGCAACAUAGUGACACUCCAUCUCUACCAAAAAACUAUUUAAAAAGCCGGGCGUGGUGGUAGGCACCUGUAGUCUCAGCUACUUGGGAGGCUGAGGUGGAAGGAUCGCUUGAGCCCAGGAGGUCGAGGCUACAGUACACCAUGAUUGCACCACUACACUCAAGCCUGGGCAACAGAAUGAGGCUUUGUCUCUAAAAAAAAAUUUAGACCAGGCGUGGUGGCUCACGCCUGUAAUCCCAACACUUUAGGAGGCCGAGAUGGGCAGAUCACUCGAUGCCACAAGUUCAAGACCAGCCUCAGCAACAUGGUGAAACCUAGUCUCUAAAAAAAAAAAGCCAAGUAGAGGCUCGCUCCUGUAGUCUCAGCUACUUGGGAGGCUGAGGCGGUGGAAGGGUGGCUUCCGCUCCAGAGGCAGAGAUUGCAGUGAGCCAAGAUCAUGCCACUGCACUCCAGCCUGGGUAACAGAGUAAGACCCUGUAUCAAAAAAAAAAAAAAAUUAAAAAUUUUUAAAAACUUACAGGUGAAACUAGGGUGCUGCUAGGGUUAAGAACUGAUUCUAGGCCAGGUGCAGUGGCUCACACCUGUAACGCCUGUAAUCCCAGCGCUUUAGGAGGGCGAGGCAGAUGGAUCACAAGGUCAGGAGUUCCAGACCAGCCUGACCAAUAUGGUGAAACCCCGUCUCUACUAAAAAUACAAAAAUUAGCCAGGGAUGGUGGCAUGUGCCUAUAAUCCCAGCUACUUAGGAGACUGAGGCAGGAGAAUUGCUUGAACCUGGGAGGCAGAGGUUGCAGUGAGCCAAGAUGGUGCCACUGCACUCCAGCCUGGGCAACAGAGAGAGACUCCAUCUCAAAAAAAAAAUGAACUGAUUCUACCAGUUAACCACUGGCCCCUCAAGGUCUUGCUUCCCUUGGCCCCCAUAGCUUUACUCCUCUGCUCUGCCCUCAUCCUCCUUCCCUUCCUUCCUUGCCUGUCAUCUCCAUAUUUUGAACCCCUCAGCCCCUCAGCAUCCCUGUCAUCCAGGGCCCUCUCCCUGGAUGCCAUGGGCCUAUUACCUCCUUGGAAGCAAAUCUCUAUUCUCCAGACCCAUCUCCCCGACAAGUUCCAGACUGGAAUUUCCACCGCCCACAGGACAGGCAGAUCCACCUGCUCCACCCAUACCAAGAACGUACCCGGGCUGACUGUGCUCAGCACGUCUUCCCUUGAGCCAGCUGCUCCUCUCAGGCCAGGCACUCAGCAUCAUCGUCACUCACCAAGUUCUGAAUGCUCUUCCCUUUUGGGCUCACUGCCACCCUCCUCGGGCAUGGCACCCCUCCCAGAACCCAGUCCCCCUGCCACUAAUGAAAGCUUUAGGCCAUGCCAGCAAACUAGACACCUUCAAGACCAAGACGAACUGGUAUAGAAGACAAGGGGAUGUGGGGAUUGGAGCAAACUAGAGAAAGCACACAGGAGAACACAUGCCGUCUUGCAGAAGUUGCAUCCACUCAGCUUCAGCCAAUUGUUGCUAUGCGGGAACAUGGACCCAAAUCUUACAAUUUCCCAAGCCAUGCUAGAAAUCUAGGUUUUAGUGUGAAAUCUCUUUGUUAAAUUUAGGAGACUUAAUUGUAAAACAUUUUCAAAAUACUGUCAGUGAGCUGCCAGUUUUCAAUUUCUGCUUCUGAAUAGCCUUUGGAAGACCUCUGUCACCUUUUUUUUUUUUUUUUUUUUUGAGAUGGAGUUUCGCUGUUGUUGCCCAGGCUGGAGUGCAAUGGUGCAAUCUCAGCUCAUCGCAACCUCUGCCUCCCAGGUUCAAGCGAUUCUCCU
rnacentral:lncRNA from 1 species